AUACGUAGGGGGCGAGCGUUGUCCGGAUUUAUUGGGCGUAAAGGGUGCGUAGGCGGCCUUGUAAGUCAGAUGUGAAAGAUCAUGGCUUAACUGUGGUAAGCAUUUGAAACUGCAGGGCUUGAGUACAGGGGAGGAGAGUGGAAUUCCUAGUGUAGCGGUGAAAUGCGUAGAUAUUAGGAGGAAUACCAGUGGCGAAGGCGACUCCCUGGACUGAUACUGACGCUGAGGCACGAAAGCGUGGGGAGCAAACAGGAUUAGAUACCCUGGUAGUCCACGCUAUAAACGAUGAGUGCUAGGUGUCGGGGGUCAAACCUCGGUGCCGCAGUUAACACAUUAAGCACUCCGCCUGGGGAGUACGGCCGCAAGGCUGAAACUCAAAUGAAUUGACGGGG
rnacentral:rRNA from 1 species